rnacentral:tRNA from 1 species
AACGUGAAGUCGCAGUUCUGAAGAAAGUUCGGAAGGAGAUCGCGGUGGGCGUGCCCUGAGACGCUGCGAUAUUCCGGCUUCACCUGGGUCCCGCGCCAGCAAACAGAGCUCUCUAAGCCAGAGCGGGAAUGCGGGCUUGACCGCUUCGUGCAGAAAAUGCACAAGGGCAUGUAUGCGGAAAUGCAAGGGUGCUUGCAGAUAUGCAAGAUCAACGCUGAUGUAAAUAGUAAAUGCACGCACGCAGAAUGAAUGCAUGUGGGAGGCACGAACGCCUACAAGUCAAAGCUAUAGUUCUGGGAGGCGGCGUUGCGGGCUCUCCAGCGCGCCGCGUGCGCCCUCUGCUGCAGUCCGCGCGCCUCGCCUCUUCGAGCUGGCGCGAGCAUCCGGCUCCUCCCAGCGCCGGCGGAGAACAAAACUACGCAUGCGCACACAGGAAAUAUUUCAAAGAGGCGCCCUGUGAGAACAAAAAGCGAGCAGUCAGGAUGGCCGAGCGGUCUAAGGCGCUGCGUUCAGGUCGCAGUCUCCCCUGGAGGCGUGGGUUCGAAUCCCACUUCUGACAAAGCUUGCUUUUUGCCUUUCACCAAGAGCUGCAAAAGAAAGGCCACCAGCCCAAGCCUCUCAGCAUCCUGGUGCCACUCUUUGCUCUCGAAUCAUCCAUCUGGCAUGCCCCCAUCUCAACUGCUCUCUUCAAGGUUCAAACGGCACCUCCACCCUGAAGGCCCCACGUCUUCUCCCACCCAGGGUGGCAUCGCACAGAACGGGUGUUCGCCUGCAAUUAACAGAGCCUGCCGAAACUGUUGGCCCUGAGAUCUUCACGCACACCCCGGUUCCAGCUGCCCCUUGGCUGCCUGCAAAGGGGGAAGGAAGAUGUACAGCGACAAGAGGAGCCGCCCGGGCCCUGGUCACAUUGGCUCACUGUGCGGCUCGAGCUCACUCCUGUCCCUCUCUGAGAUGGACGGAUGUCCCAGGAGGGAGUUGGACCGGAUCACUGUGUUUCCAAACUUCAAAACAGGGCAUUUCUCACCCCGUUUUUCCCUAUCUACAUACCAGUUGUGCACUUAAAAACAUUUUUUGUUAUUGUGACAAAACACAUAAAAUUUACCAUUUUCACCAAAGUGGCAUUCGCGUUGUUGUGAAUGCAAUCAUCGCCACGUUCCAUCUCCAGAACUUUUUCAUCUUCCCCGGGUGACACUCUGUCCCCAUAAACACUAACCCCCACCCCCCUUCCCACAGGCCUUGGCCGCCUCCAUCCCACUUUCUGUCUCUGAGUUUGACUCCUCUUGACACCUCAUAUAAUGGAAUCAUACAGUAUUUGCCUCUUUGUGUCUGGCUUAUUUCACUGAGGAUAAUGUCUUCAAAGUUCACGCUGUAGCAUGUGUUAGAAUUUCUUUCCUUUUUCUGGCUGGAUAAUAUUCCAUUGU